AUUGAACGCUGGCGGCACGCCUAACACAUGCAAGUCGAGCGGCAGCGCGAUAUGUAGCAAUACAUAUUGGCGGCGAGCGGCGGACGGGUGAGGAACACGUAGGAACCUACCCUCGAGUGGGGGAUAACCAAGGGAAACUUUGGCUAAUACCGCAUGAUUUCGAGAGAGCAAAGCUGCCGCAAGGUGGCGCUCGAGGAGGGGCCUGCGUCCGAUUAGCUAGUUGGUGAGGUAAGAGCUCACCAAGGCGAUGAUCGGUAACUGGUCUGAGAGGACGACCAGUCACACUGGGACUGAGCAACGGCCCAGACUCCUACGGGAGGCAGCAGUGGGGAAUAUUGGACAAUGGGGGCAACCCUGAUCCAGCGAUGCCGCGUGAGUGAAGAAGGCCUUCGGGUCGUAAAGCUCUUUAGGUUGGGAAGAAGAGUGAUGGAGGAAAUGCUAUCACUUUGACGGUACCGACAGAAUAAGCACCGGCAAACUCUGUGCCAGCCGCCGCCGUAAUAC
rnacentral:rRNA from 1 species